GAUGAACGCUGGCGGCGUGCUUAACACAUGCAAGUCGAACGGUGAACGAGGGAGCUUGCUCCCUCCGGAUCAGUGGCGAACGGGUGAGUAACACGUGAGCAAUCUGCCCUGGACUCUGGGAUAAGCGUUGGAAACGACGUCUAAUACCGGAUACGAGGCGUGGGGGCAUCCCCAACGCCUGGAAAGAACUUCGGUCCAGGAUGAGCUCGCGGCCUAUCAGCUUGUUGGUGAGGUAACGGCUCACCAAGGCGACGACGGGUAGCCGGCCUGAGAGGGUGACCGGCCACACUGGGACUGAGACACGGCCCAGACUCCUACGGGAGGCAGCAGUGGGGAAUAUUGCACAAUGGGCGAAAGCCUGAUGCAGCAACGCCGCGUGAGGGACGACGGCCUUCGGGUUGUAAACCUCUUUUAGCGGGGAAGAAGCGAAAGUGACGGUACCUGCAGAAAAAGCACCGGCUAACUACGUGCCAGCCGCCGCAGUAACAC
rnacentral:rRNA from 1 species